rnacentral:misc_RNA from 1 species
UCCGGUUUGUCACCGGCAGUCUCGCAUGAGUUCCCGACUUGACUCGCUGGCAACUAACAACAGGGGUUGCGCUCGUUAUAGGACUUAACCUGACACCUCACGGCACGAGCUGACGACAACCAUGCAGCACCUUGUAAAUUGUCCGAAGAAAAGUCUGUUUCCAAACCUGUCAAUCUACAUUUAAGCCUUGGUAAGGUUCCUCGCGUAUCAUCGAAUUAAACCACAUGCUCCACCGCUUGUGCGGGCCCCCGUCAAUUCCUUUGAGUUUCAUUCUUGCGAACGUACUCCCCAGGUGGGAUACUUAUCACUUUCGCUUAGCCACUCAGGUUGCCCCGAACAGCUAGUAUCCAUCGUUUACGGCGUGGACUAC